rnacentral:rRNA from 1 species
GUGGGGAAUCUUGCGCAAUGGGCGAAAGCCUGACGCAGCCAUGCCGCGUGAAUGAUGAAGGUCUUAGGAUUGUAAAAUUCUUUCACCGGGGACGAUAAUGACGGUACCCGGAGAAGAAGCUCCGGCUAACUUCGUGCCAGCAGCCGCGGUAAUACGAAGGGGGCUAGCGUUGCUCGGAAUUACUGGGCGUAAAGGGCGCGUAGGCGGACAGCUUAGUCAGAGGAGAAAGCCCAGGGCUCAACCUUGGAAUUGCCUUUGAUACUGGCUGUCUUGAGUUUGGGAGAGGUGAGUGGAACUCCGAGUGUAGAGGUGAAAUUCGUAGAUAUUCGGAAGAACACCAGUGGCGAAGGCGACUCACUGGCCCAAUACUGACGCUGAGGCGCGAAAGCGUGGGGAGCAAACAGGAUUAGAAACCCCUGUAGUCC